UACAGAUGAGGUUUCAUCAUGUUCCCCAGGCUGGUCUCAUACUCCUGAGUUCAAGCAAUCCACCUGCCUUGGCCACCCAAAGUGCUGGGAUUACAGGUGUGAGCUACUGCGUCUAGCCCUCUUCCAUCGUUUUCAAGGAGGGAUCAGGGGUCAGCUGUUCGCAACUUGGGACUUCUCUCAUGUAGCAGAGUGUACACCUGCUGCCCCAGCAAGGCCUUCACAAUGAUCCAAGCCUGGCCUGUUGCUCCAGCUUCUGGAACCUCCCAUGGCCUUCGGUCUACUUGAAUGCUCCUGAGGCCAGGUAGCUCAUCACUGCCGGAGGACCUGUUGCCACUCACUUCUAGCCACAAGAAAUGUCUGCCUGUCCUGAGCAAAACCCACCUUGGAGGAACUUCUUUACUCCCUUGUUGAAUUUUUGGCUCUACCAAAUAAACAUGAAUUGC
rnacentral:lncRNA from 10 species